rnacentral:rRNA from 2 species
GCUCAGGAUGAACGCUGGCGGCGUGCCUAAUACAUGCAAGUCGAACGAGUUCUGAUUAUUGAAAGGUGCUUGCAUCUUGAUUUAAUUUUGAACGAGUGGCGGACGGGUGAGUAACACGUGGGUAACCUGCCCUUAAGUGGGGGAUAACAUUUGGAAACAGAUGCUAAUACCGCAUAAAUCCAAGAACCGCAUGGUUCUUGGCUGAAAGAUGGCGUAAGCUAUCGCUUUUGGAUGGACCCGCGGCGUAUUAGCUAGUUGGUGAGGUAACGGCUCACCAAGGCAAUGAUACGUAGCCGAACUGAGAGGUUGAUCGGCCACAUUGGGACUGAGACACGGCCCAAACUCCUACGGGAGGCAGCAGUAGGGAAUCUUCCACAAUGGACGCAAGUCUGAUGGAGCAACGCCGCGUGAGUGAAGAAGGCUUUCGGGUCGUAAAACUCUGUUGUUGGAGAAGAAUGGUCGGCAGAGUAACUGUUGUCGGCGUGACGGUAUCCAACCAGAAAGCCACGGCUAACUACGUGCCAGCAGCCGCGGUAAUACGUAGGUGGCAAGCGUUAUCCGGAUUUAUUGGGCGUAAAGCGAGCGCAGGCGGUUUUUUAAGUCUGAUGUGAAAGCCCUCGGCUUAACCGAGGAAGUGCAUCGGAAACUGGRAAACUUGAGUGCAGAAGAGGACAGUGGAACUCCAUGUGUAGCGGUGAAAUGCGUAGAUAUAUGGAAGAACACCAGUGGCGAARGCGGCUGUCUGGUCUGUAACUGACGCUGAGGCUCGAAAGCAUGGGUAGCGAACAGGAUUAGAUACCCUGGUAGUCCAUGCCGUAAACGAUGAAUGCUAGGUGUUGGAGGGUUUCCGCCCUUCAGUGCCGCAGCUAACGCAUUAAGCAUUCCGCCUGGGGAGUACGACCGCAAGGUUGAAACUCAAAGGAAUUGACGGGGGCCCGCACAAGCGGUGGAGCAUGUGGUUUAAUUCGAAGCAACGCGAAGAACCUUACCAGGUCUUGACAUCUUUUGAUCACCUGAGAGAUCAGGUUUCCCCUUCGGGGGCAAAAUGACAGGUGGUGCAUGGUUGUCGUCAGCUCGUGUCGUGAGAUGUUGGGUUAAGUCCCGCAACGAGCGCAACCCUUAUGACUAGUUGCCAGCAUUUAGUUGGGCACUCUAGUAAGACUGCCGGUGACAAACCGGAGGAAGGUGGGGAUGACGUCAAAUCAUCAUGCCCCUUAUGACCUGGGCUACACACGUGCUACAAUGGAUGGUACAACGAGUUGCGAGACCGCGAGGUCAAGCUAAUCUCUUAAAGCCAUUCUCAGUUCGGACUGUAGGCUGCAACUCGCCUACACGAAGUCGGAAUCGCUAGUAAUCGCGGAUCAGCACGCCGCGGUGAAUACGUUCCCGGGCCUUGUACACACCGCCCGUCACACCAUGAGAGUUUGUAACACCCGAAGCCGGUGGCGUAACCCUUUUAGGGAGCGAGCCGUCUAAGGUGGGACAAAUGAUUAGGGUG